rnacentral:lncRNA from 10 species
CCGGGGAAUACCUCUAGUUCUUCCCGGCCGCCGCCGCCGCCGCCGCCCCGCCGCUUCCUCCUCCGCCUGCCGGCCUCCUUCGCCCCGUCCCGUCCGCGCAGCGCGUCCGGCCCGCCCGCAGGCCAGCUUCUCUCGGGAGCCCCCACCCAGGCGCAUGGCUCCAUGAAGCAAGAGGAGGAGGCAGAGCGCGAGAGGUCCCGUCCGCCCCAGCCGCGUCUGGGCCAGGAUAAAAGCAAAACCAUAUUCCUGCUGCUGUCAGUUAUGAUGCACUGAGAAAACUUCAGAGACCUAAACUUUUUCCAGAGAAGAGAAGCUUUACUGGUGUUCCAGCCCUAAGAAACCUUUGUUCAAGAAAACGGCAGAUGCUCUGUUGAAUCCACUGGAGAUUGUUCUGAUACUAAGGACAAGUAUCAACCAUCUUUCCUGUGAAAAAUUCCCUCUCGUACUUUAGUUCUGUGGAUCCAAAAUUUAUAGCAUUCUUCUACCACCACAGGGGCUCAUAUGACAUUAACAGACAAGACACUUUUCAGAAAGACAGGCAACGUGUUGGACCUUCCGGAGCUUCUCAGAAGACAGAGGGUUUUCUUUUGAGACAAAUCAACUCAAUCAAAGAAACCAACUCAAUCAAAGAAAGAUGGGUCUACAUACAACAAAACUGAACAAAAUCUGCAAGAAGAGUGAUUCAUACAUGGGCUAUUGAGGCAACAUGAAAUGGACAUUAAUCGACUAAGUAAAAAACAGAUUUCUUGAAGAAUUAAUAAAGAACUUUUGUUUUG